UGUGUCGGUGAUGAUGAUUCAACCACAAACUAUCGAAUCCUCUACGGAGGUCAUGUGACCAACCAUGCACUACCAUCUGAGACACA
rnacentral:snoRNA from 10 species